rnacentral:lncRNA from 1 species
AAAAACAUUGCCAUUUUUAUUUUUAUUUUUUAAAACUGCAAAAAGUGAAAAACAGGGAACACCGCUUUUAAUCACAAAAACAUCCAUUUAUUACUGAUGCAAAAUGUUGCACAAUGAAACACAUGAGAUGGCCCUUACAAUGGACCAUUACGUUUCGGGCAAAACGUAUGGCUUUCAUGCAAACAAAAUGGAAACACAGAAAUACUAUUCUUCUG